GGAGGGAUGGCAGAGUCCGGUUGAAUGCGGCGGUCUUGAAAACCGUUAGGGGCGUAAGUCCCUCGGGGGUUCGAAUCCCUCUCCCUCCGCCA
rnacentral:tRNA from 1 species